GCCAGGCAUGGUGGCGGGCGCCUGUAGUCCCAGCUACUCAGGAGGCUGAGACAGGAGAAUUGCUUGAGCCCGGGAGGCGGAGGUUGCAGUGAGCCGAGAUCGUGCCACUGCACUCCAGCCUGGGCAACAGAGCGAGACUCUGUCUCAA
rnacentral:SRP_RNA from 1 species